GUCGGUGUAGUUCAAUGGUCAGAACGAGGGACUCAUAAACCCUAGACGGUAGUUCGACUCUACCCAUCGACA
rnacentral:tRNA from 1 species